UAACGAAUCUUCCGCAAUGCACGAAAGUGUGACGGAGCGACGCCGCGUGGAGGACGAAGUUCUUCGGAAUGUAAACUCCUGUCAGGGGAAAGAAAGUUCUGAUCUACCCCAGAGGAAGAGGCGGCUAACUCUGUGCCAGCAGCCGCGGUAAUACAGAGGCCUCGAGCGUUAGACGGAAUCACUGGGCUUAAAGCGUGUGUAGGCGGAAGGGUAAGUACCUUGUGAAAUCCCACGGCUUAACCGUGGAACGGCUUGGUAUACUGCUUUUCUUGAGCAAUCUAGGGGCGAGUGGAACAGAUGGUGGAGCGGUGAAAUGCGUAGAUAUCAUCUGGAACGCCAAUGGUGAAGACAACUCGCUGGGGAUUUGCUGACGCUGAGACACGAAAGCCAGGGGAGCGAACGGGAUUAGAUACCCCGGUAGUCCCUGAGCGGGCUGGCAAGGCGCAU
rnacentral:rRNA from 1 species